rnacentral:rRNA from 1 species
UGGGGAAUAUUGCACAAUGGACGGAAGUUUGAUGCAGCGACGCCGCGUGGAGGGUGUAGGCCUUCGGGUUGUGAACUCCUUUUUCUCGCGAAAAAGGCACAGUUUUGGCUGUGUUGAUGGUAGUGGGGGAAGAAGCGCCGGCUAACUACGUGCCAGCAGCCGCGGUAAUACGUAGGGCGCGAGCGUUGUCCGGAUUUAUUGGGCGUAAAGAGCUCGUAGGUGGUUCGUCCCGUCUGUCGUGAAAGCCAGCAGCUUAACUGUUGGUCUGCGGUGGGUACGGGCGGGCUGGAGUGCGGUAGGGGUGGCUGAAAUUCCUGGUGUAGCGGUGGAAUGCGCAGAAAUCAGGAGGAACACGGAUGGCGAAGGCAGGUCACUGGGCCGUUACUGACACUGAGGAGCGAAAGCGUGGGGAGCGAACAGG